rnacentral:lncRNA from 1 species
GAGGCAGACAAGCCUUUCUUCCCAGCUGUGUCAACAAGCCCCAGGCCGCCUGGAAGUGCCCCCACCCUCCUGUGGCUCCUGCCCCCAGCUGCAGGUAUGGGAAGCAGCCCCGGGCUGCCCUGGGUGACAUCCUCCCCACGGGCUCCCUUGAGGGCCCCGGGCCUCCCACUGGGCCAUCAGAGUCCCGGGUGAUGGUGAUGAUGAUUUUAUGAUGCCAGCAGCACUUGAUAUUUGCAGAGAGCAGGGCCCUCCUUUUCUUGGCUCCUCCUUCCUGCUGCCUGAGCCAGAAGCUUCUGUGUGACUAUCUUUGGGCCACAAGGAGCAGCAGCUGAGCUAGAGCUGCCCGAGCUUAUGCCGCCUCCUCUGUGAAGCCUUCCUUGAUCACCCAGGCAGGCUCUGUGCCUGUCCCUGUCCUCCAGUCUCACUGCCAGGCUUCUCUGGCUGUUUUGCACCCUGCCGUGGCCUGUGGGGAGUGAAUCACCAUCCCAAGUGGACAGUCUCAGGGCGCCUUCUGGAUUCACAAAAUCUGCUGACUGCAGAUGAGGCAACUGAACUUAGAAAGCUUGCCAUACUCUUCCCAGCUACACGGUAGCAUCAGAUUUUCCAAGCGACGGGACGCCAGGAUCUGUGGAACCCCUUUGGUUUUGAGUUGCUGACCGACCGGCACGGAGCCCUCAGCGCACACGGGAUGAGAGUGAUCUCAAGCCGAAUUCAUAUGGAGCUCGGAGCAUCCGAUUUGGAAGUUAGGGGGUUCCUGGUGCCCCAGCAACAGGGAGGACGCAUGAGAAGACACUUUGGAAGAGCUGGACCACUCCAGGGGAGGAAAUGCAAACGAAAUUGAAUUAAUUAGCCUUUGGAUUGAACUCUGCUUCUUGAGUGUGCUAAGUCUGAUUAAACAAACAACCAAAAAGAUAGUCACUUAGCUACUUUUUUUUUUUUUUUUUUUGUAAGAGAAAAGAGAGAGAGAAAAAAAAAAAAACAAAGAUGCUGAUUUAAG